rnacentral:rRNA from 1 species
AAACUCAAAGGAAUUGACGGGGGCCCGCACAAGCGGUGGAGUAUGUGGUUUAAUUCGAUGCAACGCGAAGAACCUUACCUGGCCUUGACAUGUCUGGAAUCCUGCAGAGAUGCGGGAGUGCCUUCGGGAAUCAGAACACAGGUGCUGCAUGGCUGUCGUCAGCUCGUGUCGUGAGAUGUUGGGUUAAGUCCCGCAACGAGCGCAACCCUUGUCCUUAGUUGCCAGCGAGUAAUGUCGGGAACUCUAAGGAGACUGCCGGUGACAAACCGGAGGAAGGUGGGGAUGACGUCAAGUCCUCAUGGCCCUUACGGCCAGGGCUACACACGUACUACAAUGGUCGGUACAGAGGGUUGCAAUACCGCGAGGUGGAGCCAAUCCCAGAAAGCCGAUCCCAGUCCGGAUCGGAGUCUGCAACUCGACUCCGUGAAGUCGGAAUUGCUAGUAAUCGCGGAUCAGCUAUGCCGCGGUGAAUACGUUCCCGGGCCUUGUACACACCGCCCGUCACACCAUGGGAGUGGGUUGCUCCAGAAGCCGUUAGUCUAACCGCAAGGAGGACGACGACCACGGAGUGGUUCAUGACUGGGNNGAAGUCGUAACAA